rnacentral:rRNA from 1 species
UACGUAGGGACCAAGCGUUGUUCGGAUUUACUGGGCGUAAAGGGCGCGUAGGCGGCAAUUCAAGUCAUCUGUGAAAUCUCCGGGCUUAACCCGGAACGGUCAGAUGAUACUGCUUUCCUAGAGUGCGGAAGGGGCAAUCGGAAUUCUCGGUGUAGCGGUGAAAUGCGUAGAUAUCGAGAGGAACACCUGAGGUGAAGACGGGUUGCUGGGCCGACACUGACGCUGACAGCGCGAAAGCCAGGGGAGCAAACGGG